AACGAACGCUGGCGGCAGGCUUAACACAUGCAAGUCGAGCGCCCUGCAAGGGGAGCGGCAGACGGGUGAGUAACGCGUGGGAACCUACCUGAAGGUACGGAACAACUCCGGGAAACUGGAGCUAAUACCGUAUGUGCCCGAGAGGGGAAAGAUUCAUCGCCUUCAGAUGGGCCCGCGUCAGAUUAGCUAGUUGGUGAGGUAAUGGCUCACCAAGGCGACGAUCUGAGCUGGUCUGAGAGGAUGACCGGCCACACUGGGACUGAGACACGGCCCAGACUCCUACGGGAGGCAGCAGUGGGAAUAUUGGACAAUGGGCGCAAGCCUGAUCCAGCCAUGCCGCGUGAGUGAUGAAGGCCCUAGGGUUGUAAAGCUCUUUUGUGCGGGAAGAUAAUGACGUACCGCAAGAAUAACGCCCCGGCUAACUUCGUGCCAGCAGCCGCAGUAAG
rnacentral:rRNA from 1 species